UCAUCGCCCCAACUCAUUGUCUACUGAUAACGCAGAUAGCGCACCAUACAGAUCUUGACUUCGUUUUUGAUUCGUUUUGUGUAGUGAAUGGCUCUGAUCGAGCGAACGGUCGUGUUUAUUGGUAGAACGGGUGCUGGAAAGUCGACGUGGUGUGCCAACGAUGUUGGUCCAGAAAGCGACCAAUCUGUGAGCGAAACAAAGUUCAUCGAAACUCGAACAGUCAACAUGGAGCAAAUAGCAAAUAUCGUGUCAAAGAGUAGAUACAGUUGGGAUCGGUGAUACAGACCUUGGAGAAGACGAAGUAGUCAAGCGUUUGGCUAGCGCUUGUGACGAAUGUCGCAAAGGUCGUGUUUUUCGUCACUGGAGGAAGGAUUACUCAAGAAGAAGCAGACGCGUGGGAUGUCAUUUGGAAGUUUUAGAUCCCGACGUUGUAAAGAGCAAUUGUGAUAGGUUCAAAA